rnacentral:rRNA from 1 species
ACGAACGCUGGCGGCGUGCUUAACACCUGCCAGUCGAACGGAAAGGCCCUGCUUUUGUGGGGUGCUCGAGUGGCGAACGGGUGAGUAACACGUGAGUAACCUGCCCUUGACUUUGGGAUAACUUCAGGAAACUGGGGCUAAUACCGGAUAGGAGCUCCUGCUGCAUGGUGGGGGUUGGAAAGUUUCGGCGGUUGGGGAUGGACUCGCGGCUUAUCAGCUUGUUGGUGGGGUAGUGGCUUACCAAGGCUUUGACGGGUAGCCGGCCUGAGAGGGUGACCGGCCACAUUGGGACUGAGAUACGGCCCAGACUCCUACGGGAGGCAGCAGUGGGGAAUAUUGCACAAUGGGCGGAAGCCUGAUGCAGCAACGCCGCGUGCGGGAUGACGGCCUUCGGGUUGUAAACCGCUUUCGCCUGUGACGAAGCGUGAGUGACGGUAAUGGGUAAAGAAGCACCGGCUAGCUACGUG